AUGCAGCUCGCAUAUCUCAUCCUCACCGUCUUCCUGGGACAGCUCCUGGGCACCACGGGGCAGGACACGGUCACCCAGGAGGAUGGACCAGUCUUGGUGAAGCAGGGACACCCCUUCCACACCACAUGCAAAUACCAAACCAGUAAUUUUUAUGGCUUGCUGUGGUACCAGCUGAGGAAAGGCCAAGCCCCAGAGCUCAUCUCCUAUCAAGGAGGGACUGGCUCCAAGCGCAGCGGCCGUUUCACCACGCAGCUGAACACCACGGGCAAAUCCAGUGUCCUGCAGCUGGAGGAAGUGGAGCUCUCUGACUCUGCCUUGUACCUCUGUGCUCUGCAAGACACCCUGGCGGUGUCGCUGCUGUGUGCGAUGGGACACAGCUGUCCCUUGUCCCUGGCCGUGCCAAAGGUCCCUGUGUCGCUGGUUGUGCCGGUGCCGUGA